UACGUAGGCAGCGAGCGUUGUUCGGAAUUACUGGGCGUAAAGCGUGCGUAGACGGUUAUGUAAGUCGGGUGUGAAAGCCCCGGGCUCAACCUGGGAAUGCCAUUCGAGACUGCAUAGCUAGGGUGCGGAAGAGGGAAGCGGAAUUUCCGGUGUAGCGGUGAAAUGCGUAGAUAUCGGAAGGAACACCAGUGGCGAAAGCGGCUUCCUGGUCCAGCACCGACGUUCAGGCACGAAAGCGUGGGGAGCAAACAGG
rnacentral:rRNA from 1 species